ensembl:miRNA MIR31 microRNA 31
UCCUGUAACUUGGAACUGGAGAGGAGGCAAGAUGCUGGCAUAGCUGUUGAACUGCGAACCUGCUAUGCCAACAUAUUGCCAUCUCUCUUGUCCG